rnacentral:rRNA from 1 species
AUUGAACGCUGGCGGCAGGCCUAACACAUGCAAGUCGAACGAGUGGCGGACGGGUGAGUAAUGUCUGGGAAACUGCCUGAUGGAGGGGGAUAACUACUGGAACCGGUAGCUAAUACCGCAUACCAUCGGAUGUGCCCAGAUGUGAUUAGCUAGUAGGUGGGGUAAAGGCUCACCUCGGCGACGAUCCCUAGCUGGUCUGAGAGGAUGACCAGCCACACUGGAACUUGUACACGGUCCAGACUCCUACGGGAGGCAGCAGUGGGGAACAUUGCACAAUGGUGGCAAGCCUGAUGCGGCCAUGCCGCGUGUAUGAAGAAGGCCUUCGGGUUGUAAAGUACUUUCAGCGGGGAGGCGUUACCCGCAGAAGAAGCACCGGCUAACUCCGUGCCAGCAGCCGCGGUAAUUC